UUCCCCUGGGGCCUCCCAUCCCGGGGGGCUAGGAGCCUGGCUGCUGGCUUUCCCCCGAGGGAGGAGAGGCAGCCGCCCGCAGCAGCUGCCGACGACCCGGGAAGCUCCUCCUCUUGCCCUUCUCCGAGAAGCCCGGCCGCAGCGUAGGCUCCGGAGCGAGUGGGCAGCCGAUGACAGCAUCUGCCUCACCCUCAUAAAAAUACCCUAGAAAUGUGCUUCUGUGAUCUGAAGUGUGUGCUGGCAAGAGUAGAAAAGUAAGGAGUGAGCAGAUUGCAGAAUCAGACUGACAAAUGGCACCAUUGGAGGGGAGGGGAAGACGGUAUCUCUGGAUCCAAGGUAUCAAGCAGGCUCAUGAACCAAGGCUGAAGAAUGUCUUUGCAGGAAGUCUCAGCACAGAAACCAAGGACUACAAAGACAGAAGUCUCCAGUUUUACACCGGGCUGCUCUUAUUGUUUUCAAAUGCUUUGUGCUUUCCCUGGAGGGAGAGGAGAAUCUGACAGUUUUAUUCCUCUUUACCCUUGCUGGCAGAGGAGGCGGUGUUGUUCAGUUGGAAAAGUGAAUCACCUUCUCAAGGUGUGGAGCCAAAGGUCUUGCUUGGAGGAAACAUGCCUGAAAGGAAGACCUGGAGGAUGCCAAAUGAAGAGCUUUCAACCUCCUGUGAUCAGUUUGUUUAGAGGGUGACUGCUUCCUCAACCAUAUUUUAAAUCUUCUUGAACUAAAUCAACUAUUGGAUGGAUUGCCUUCUUCAAGGGAGGAUGGGGAAUGGACCUGUGAUUUCAUUGAAUUCCUAGGAAUGCAAAGUCACUCUACCCAUGUUGGUUGCCAUCUUCUCUGCCACUUGUAGCCUUGGGGAGUUGCC